rnacentral:other from 1 species
GCGCCCCUGCACUGAACGAGCGGCACUCAAGUUGCCUGAGCCGAUACCUGUCGAAUGGGAGCCUCGCUACGCUAACCGUGUGCAUUCCCGCAAGGGAGUACCUAACGUUAACGUGCGGCGCCCACCUCUUGUUGGAGGGUUCGACAACUGCCUGCCAUACCGUCAGCGCGGGGGCGCC